rnacentral:rRNA from 1 species
CCCUAGUAACUGCGAGUGAAGCGGGAAAAGCUCAAAUUUAAAAUCUGGCGGUCUACUGGCCGUCCGAGUUGUAGUCUGGAGAAGCGUUUUCCGCGUUGGACCGUGUACAAGUUUCCUGGAACGGAGCGUCAUAGAGGGUGAGAAUCCCGUCUUUGACACGGAUCCCAAUGCUUUGUGAUGCGCUCUCAAAGAGUCGAGUUGUUUGGGAAUGCAGCUCAAAAUGGGUGGUGAAUUCCAUCUAAAGCUAAAUAUUGGCGAGAGACCGAUAGCGAACAAGUACCGUGAGGGAAAGAUGAAAAGCACUUUGGAAAGAGAGUUAAACAGUACGUGAAAUUGUUGAAAGGGAAACGCUUGAAGUCAGUCGCGUCGGCCGGGACUCAGCCUUGCAUCCGCUUGGUGUACUUUCCGGUCGACGGGCCAGCAUCAGUUUUGACCGCGAGAUAAAGGCGGAGGGAAUGUGGCUCUCUCGGGAGUGUUAUAGCCCUUCGUCAGAUGUCGCGGUUGGGACUGAGGAACUCAGCACGCCUUUAUGGCCGGGGCUCGCCCACGUACGUGCUUAGGAUGCUGGCGUAAUGGCUUUAAACGACCCGUCUUGAAACACGGACCAAGGAGUCUAACAUGCCUGCGAGUGUUCGGGUGGAAAACCCGUGCGCGCAAUGAAAGUGAAAGUUGGGAUCCCUGUCGUGGGGUGCACCGACGCCCGGCCCAGACCUUUUGUGACGGAGCUGCGGUAGAGCAUGUAUGUUGGGACCCGAAAGAUGGUGAACUAUGCCUGAAUAGGGUGAAGCCAGAGGAAACUCUGGUGGAGGCUCGUAGCGAUUCUGACGUGCAAAUCGAUCGUCAAAUUUGGG